GGCUUGCCUAGCUUCUUGUAACUUACCUGGCUUCUUAGGUUUGACAUUGGGUGUGACAGUAGAGGAACUCUUCCAGGUACCCAACAGACUCUACAACCUACUGCAGAGACACUUCCUGAUCCUUCUCUAUUCACGAUAACCAGAAAAUGAAAUCAGCCCAGAUGUCCAUGAACUGACGAAUGGAUAAUAAAAAUGUGAACCAUAUAUACAGUGCAGCACGCUCACUCACAAGUGCACCAGCUUUGAAUCUUUUCCGUGCUUCAUAAGGAGCACUUGCGGAAGGCAGGAAGACCAACCUCACCAUCUACUCAAAGGCUCAGCAAGGAUUUUGGAAGAGAAGUUAGAAACAAUGUAUGUAAGAGUAACCAGGUCCUGAGUUCAAUUCCCAGCAACCACAUGGUGGCUCACAACCGUCUGUAAUAAGAUCUGGAUUGCCCUCUUCUGGAUUGCAAGUGUACAUGAAGGCAGAAUACCGUAUACAUAAUAAAUAAAUCUUA